UCAUCCAGAGGUACCUCGGGGAUCGGUCGCGGGGCCCCAAAUCAACCGCCAACCUUGCGUUGUUAAUGAAAUGCCCUCGGACUCUUUGUCUCUCUGACUUCAAAUCAAUCCGCAUAAAUAGGCGCACCACAGACGGGGGCUACGCCCGCCUCUCCUAACACGUCUGGACCCACGCCCGUUAAGUGAGCGCGUUGCGGACUGUCCAUCGCAUCGUGGCUGUGGGGCCAUGCGAUGCGUGCUGUGUGAGAACCACGACGGCUCGGUCACAUCAACGGUGCUGGCGUCGAGUGCGGCGCAUGGGCCUUCACGGCUCAGCUCGCUUGCGUGCAGAGACGAUGCAAGAAAAAAACCGAGGGAUAUGUGAAUUGCGUAUGGCAGCCCCCCCUCCCGUCCCCCAUCUGUCAGAUAUGUAAUACAUUUUUAACCAUGUUUGGUAAAAUUCCAACAAAAUCCGUGCCCAAUAUGUGUGUGACAGUCAUGUUUGGUGUUUAGUACUAACCACUGCUGUGCCACCGCUCUACACCCCAUAUGGUUAUACAUGACGUCAAAUGAUUUCACGUGUUGAGACAAUUCCACAACUCAUUCAACAGCGUUCGUGGAUAAUUCCAUUCAACAAAAACAAUUCGUUUCAAUCACCACCAAAAAGGUUCACACAUUUAUACAUUUCGUGAAAUACCAACAUGUAUAAAUGUACGGUUGUCUGAUGCGUCUUCGGGUCGUACCGUGCGUUUUACGGCACGCUGCCUGACGUGAAACACCACUUGCAGGAGAUUUUUGCAGGGAAUUCAGUUCCUGAAGUAAGUGGACAAUCUUUGGAUAAAUUGUGUCCCUUAAUGCAGUGCUCGAGAAGACGCUCAGCACGUGGAGAAUUUUUUUUCAAUAACAUUUGUUUUUGUCCAAGUCAGGUCCACUGAGCUAGAAAGCUCUUUAUCAGAAGCGAGCUGCCCACGAAUGAUAACCCAACAAAGUGGCUUAUCAUGUGGAAGUUUUAGCAGCCAAAUAUUCUAAAAACCGCGUAUUUAUAAACGUGGAGGGAAAAACCAGAAGUCCCGGAGAAUAAUCCACGCAACCACGGGGAGAACAUGCAAACUAAAAAAAUAUACAGCCGUCAGUGGUCAGGAUCCAACCCACGACUUCCUGCAUACCAGGCAAGGUAGUUAACAUCUCGCCACCGUAUUCUGAACAACACCACACGGUACAGCCUCAAAGGUCAUUAUCAGAGAGCCGUAACGCAUGAUCGCGACACGCUACACAGUCCACUUAGAUUUACAUGCGCUUUUUCUCAAAUGAGAGCAGCUGCGAUGAUUAAUCUCGCUGAUAAUGGGCGGUGCAAUCCCCAUUCAUCUUGUAAGCAGCGCCAUGUUAAAACAAGAGUUAUUAAUUAAGCCUAAAAUAAUUAAUCCGAAGUUUAACUAUUGCACGGCUGAGCUAUACAGUGAGCUCCACCACUUCUUCCGUACGAUGAGAAAAGCUUACAACGUGAAAGUCUCAUUUGAUGAUCCACUCAAUGGUUUCCUGAAAUCCUCAGCGGAGAAAUCGAGUGCCUCCCGCAACCGACCUUUAGUGGGCAGGUUGGUUUGGUAUGUUCCACGAUCUAGGAC